UCUACUCAAUAACCCGACGCACAUCCAGAAUCAGCCCUGCUAGGCCUGGCUACAAAUACUAAUCCUUGCCGAAACCAACUCACAGCUCAGUCGUUGGACUCCAAGCAGUAGUGCAGUAGCAUCUUUUUAAAAGGAAGUGACGUCUCCCAAGCAAGAUUUCUCACGGAAAAGAUGAAGACCAUUUGUGUCCUGUUCGUUCUGGUGGUGAUCUUCUCCUUGGUCCUCGGAGAUAAAGUCGAGGAAGGAUUCAGUGAAGAAAUGGAUCUGGAAAAACGGUCUGAUUGCUUUCCUGUCGGUCACUUUUGUACCAAGAGCUGGACUUGCUGUCCAACUGAAGGUGGCAUCGGACACUGCAGCUGGGGAUUUAAAUGUUACUAAUGAUCAGACGAAAUACCAGUACCAAUAAUGAAAAGACUUGGAUAGAACCUUACAGCAUCCUUCCGUACCUCAUUCGUGCUGUUCCGUAAUUGCUCCGACCAAGAAUCAAUAAAGAUUAGUCUUUUUUGCUUCUUGCUAUACCAAAUAAAGAAUAAGUUGC